rnacentral:rRNA from 1 species
AUUGAACGCUGGCGGCAGGCCUAACACAUGCAAGUCGAGCGAGCGGCGGACGGGUGAGUAAUGUAUGGGGACUGCCCGAUAGAGGGGGAUAACUACUGGAAACGGUGGCUAAUACCGCAUACUAUCGGAUAACCCAUAUGGGAUUAGCUAGUAGGUGGGGUAAAGGCUCACCUAGGCGACGAUCUCUAGCUGGUCUGAGAGGAUGAUAAGCCAAGCGGGGACUGAAACACGGCCCAGACCCAUACGGAGGAAGCAGUGGGGAAUAUUGCACAAUGGGCGCAAUCCUGAUGCAGCCAUGCGGGGUGUAGGAAGAAGGCCUUAGGGUUGUAAAGUACUUUCAGCGGGGAGGCGUUACCCGCAGAAGAAGAACCGGCUAACUCCGUGCAAGCAGCCGAGGUAAUAC